CGUGAGAUGUUGGGUUAAGUCCCGCAACGAGCGCAACCCUCAUCGCAUGUUGCCAGCGUAAAGUCGGGCACUCUUGCGAAACUGCCCGUGUAAGCGGGAGGAAGGUGGGGAUGACGUCAAGUCGGCAUGGCCCUUACGCCUGGGGCUACACACAUGCUACAAUGGCCGGUUACAAAGAGCAGCAAGACCGCGAGGUGGAGCAAAUCUCAAAAACCCGGUCUCAGUUCGGAUUGCAGUCUGCAACUCGACUGCA
rnacentral:rRNA from 1 species